rnacentral:rRNA from 1 species
AUGACGGUACCCGCAGAAUAAGCCCCGGCUAACUUCGUGCCAGCAGCCGCGGUAAUACGAAGGGGGCCAGCGUUGUUCGGAAUCACUGGGCGUAAAGCGUACGCAGGCGGAUUGAUAAGUCAGGGGUGAAAUCCCGGGGCUCAACCUCGGAAUUGCCUUUGAUACUGUCUGUCUCGAGUUCGGGAGAGGUUGGCGGAAUUCCUAGUGUAGUGAAAUUCGUAGAUAUUAGGAAGAACACCAGUGGCGAAGGCCGCCAACUGGCCCGAUACUGACGCUCAUGUACGAAAGCGUGGGGAGCAAACAGGAUUAGAUACCCUGGUAGUCCACGCUGUAAACUAUGGAUGCUAGCCGUUGGGGAGCUUGCUCUUCAGUGGCGCAGCUAACGUCUUAAGCAUCCCGCCUGGGGAGUACGGUCGCAAGAUUAAAACUCA